GUGGCCAUUAAGCCAGGGAAGAUGUCAAAGCCUGAACCCCAAUCGCCAUCUCCACUUUGGCCAAAUAUCGGGGUUGCCAAGGACAUCCAGGCCAAGAUGAGCUUCAUCCAAAACUGCCACAUGGUAGCCUGAGCAGAGAAAGAUGGACAACCAUCUAAACUGCACAAAAAUCCAAUAUGCGGAGGAGACGCAAGUGUGACGUUUGUUCAUUUUAAGGAGCUGUCACUUUUAAGCGCUCUACUCUUCACAUCUGGUCCAUCAGCAGAGCUCGUACUCCAAUUUACCUGUUUUCAGUUCUACUUUUUGUAUCUUCAGCACUGUGCAAAUGGCAAUGUUUGUUCAAAAUCACUUUCUCAAGACGUAAUGAUACUGAAAUAUUUCCAGAAAUGUUCAUCUUCUUUAUAUUCUUUUCCACAAACCAGCUGAGAAGUAAAUGUGGCUGCGAUUCUUCUCUAAUACUUACAAGGUUCAUAAAUCUGACUCUCUGAAUGUCACACUGCAUAUUUUAGCAGCAAUCAUAUUUUUCUAUGUACAAUUUAUCAGGCAACCUUUUUUUGGUUGAACUUUUGUUAAAUGCCACAUGCAGAUUAUAAAAUAAUAUAUACACAGUAUGUCUUAUUUUGCUACAUACAGGUUGCUGCUAUCUGAGUGACUUCUAUUUAAUAGAAAGACUUUCUUUAGAGACUCUUACUACGGGUAAGUAAAUCUAUCCAUCUACCAAUUAAAUUCAGUUUACUAUACAAGUAAUUUUAUCUGCGCAAACAAUUUUUCUUUCUUUUCGUUUGAGGUCUCUAAAUGUGCAGAGCUGGUAGAGGAAUAUCACAAAAUCCUUCCGGCUAUCACUGCAGCAGAGGGUUAGGCUACAGCGUCGGUUCGGACUAAAUACACACGUGUGCAACAAUUCUCCUCCCUCUUUACAACUGCACACUAUUUUAAUCAAUAACAUAAAGUCUCAUUGUCUAUACUCGCCUAAACCUGCAUGGUCAAAUGGAGUCUGGUGCCUAUCUACAAUAGUCACUGCGUUAGAGGCAUGGAUACAUCCUGGACAUGCAGUCAGUCCAUCACAUGGUAACCCAAAGGCACAGGGCAAACAACCAAGAACACACACUUGUUGCUAAGCCCAUUUAACUUAUAUAUUUGGGCUAUGGGAACAAGCCAGAGUACCCAGAGAGAACUCUCGUGUGCAAUGUCCGGAAAAUUCAAACUCCAUGCAGAAAGAUCUGGAAUCAAGACCAGUAUCUUUUUCCUGCAAGGCAGCAGUUCUAACAACUGCACAACCAUGCAACCCCUUCAAAAUAUGUGUAUGAAAUCUCAAAUGUAUUUUGGAAUCCUCAGAAGAUUAAAAUUUUACUGUAAAUGGAUGCAUCAGCAGUUAUCAUGUGUCUCUAUUUCUGUUGUGAGAAGUAAAAUGGUUAAAUUGAGUCUUUCAGUGGAUUCUUAUAUAAAACGUUAUUGCACAAAACUGUGCCGCCUCAGCUGUGGAGUAGUAAUAAGCUUUUCACAUUCUGUGGCUAGACUAUGUGGUGACUCGUGUCACGCCAAGGCUGUGAAAGCUGAAACUUCUCCUUACAGUAGAGUUUCUGUUGUUUCCAGUGGUUUUCUAAGGAUCUUUCUUGUGAAUGUGAAGUCAGGAAGUCUUUUUUGUCUUUCUGGAUACAAAAAGAAGCAAUCUGGGUUUUUUUUCAAACUAUAGUUUUUGAUUAACUUAUGUGGCUAUCUAGGUUUCUCACUUCAGCAUCUGGAAAUGGAAAAUAUUUAAAGGCAUCCACCCUAAACUGCAUGACAGAGAUCUUUCUGCUGUCAGAUCACAUUUGGAUUUGGCUCAAACCUUUUUAAACUCCUCAAAGCUGAGAGGAAAGUCUGGUUAGUUAUUACCUAUCAGUACAUCUUGUUCUGAAAUCUGCUGAAACAUACAUAAUAAAAUAGAGUGCUUAUUUUAAGGCAACUCAUGGUGUGGAAAGACACCUAGACACUCAUAAAACAACAGAGAGGGUUUCCUCUGCGUUUAAAUGGCAACUUCAAUUAAGUUUCAGUGGGUUUUUGUGGAAAUAUGUUCAAAUAGGAUUACUUUGGGACAAUGAGGUAUACAUACUGAUAUCAUAGUAUGCUUUUUUGCGGAUGUGUAUGGUUACAGUUGGGAUGACUUGACGUAAAAUAAAAGCAGAUUUAAUGAGUUUUCCAGAUGUGUUCCAAGUCGAUGACGGCAUGUGUUACAUCUGCUUCUUCAAUUAUUUUAUUCAGUCUGCAUAUACUUUGUUACUUUGAGUGUUAAAACCAAUUAGCCGACUACAAACAGAAAAAUGGCACAAUUAUUUAUAAAUUAAAUGGGAAACCUGUCACUUUAUGUCCCCUAAUUGUGGUGAUGCAAAAACCUUUUAUUGCUACAAACUUUGACCACGCUUGUUUCAGCACCACUAACACAAAUCCCUGUUGGUCCACAGUGACAACACUUUUCUUAUGACUGAAAGUAAUAAGAUAAAAGUGUAAUUUGUCUGUUUGGAAAAGACAUGAAUUUGUUUUGCUAACGCCCUGCGCAUUCCUCAGUGUAUCACACACUUGCAGCA